AGUGGCAGACGGGUGAGUAACAUGUAGGUAUCUUCCCUUUGGCCUGGAAUAACACGAGGAAACUUGUGCUAAUACCGGAUAAGUCUUUACGGAGAAAGCUUUAUGCACCAUUGGAUGAGCCUGCACUUGAUUAGUUUGUUGGUAGGGUAAUGGCCUACCAAGACUGUGAUCAAUAGCUGAUUUGAGAGGAUGAUCAGCCACAUUGGGACUGAGACACGGCCCAAACUCCUACGGGAGGCAGCAGUGGGGAAUAUUGCACAAUGGAGGAAACUCUGAUGCAGCGAUGCCGCGUGAGUGUACAAGGCCUUUGGGUUGUAAAGCUCUUUCGUCGGGUAAGAAAAUGACUGUACCCGAAUAAAAAGGUCCGGCGUAACUUCGUGCCAGCAG
rnacentral:rRNA from 1 species